GGAAAUACAACAAAAUGCCUCUCCCUCUCCUUUAGCAAAACACGUGUCAGAGCAAUGCAAGAUUUGACUGGGACUGCUUUACUUCGUUAACAAGUACAUCUGUUCGUGACAUUUGGUAUUCCUAAUAUGCCCACUUGGAGGAAAUUGCCAGCUUAGGCCAACCAGGGUGAAAUGCAUGCGCUUAUAAACUCAUAAGCCCAAUAAUAAUUUUCAGAAGGAGGCAUUCAUUCACUUUGGCUUAUAAACUUGCAAAUCUGUAGAUUCAUUAGUCUAUCACUUACAUGAAAAGACAAAAUUUAUAUUUAAUUGUUGAGGCUCGACUUCAAAAUUUUCAAGAACAACAACAUUUUUGUUGCACACCUCUCUGUCAAAAGUAUCAGCCUUUUGCCAAGCUGAACACAAGGGGAUGAAAGGAAAAUCUGGGCUCGAAUGUGCAAUUUCAUAUUUUAUGUUAAGGCAAUUUACAACAUAUC
rnacentral:lncRNA from 1 species